rnacentral:rRNA from 1 species
GACGAACGCUGGCGGCGUGCUUAACACAUGCAAGUCGAACGAUGAAGCCUAGCUUGCUGGGUGGAUUAGUGGCGAACGGGUGAGUAACACGUGAGUAACCUGCCCUGGACUCUGGGAUAACCCCGAGAAAUCGGAGCUAAUACCGGAUAGGACCUUUCCCCGCAUGGGGUUUGGUGGAAAGUUUUUCGGUUUGGGAUGGACUCGCGGCCUAUCAGCUUGUUGGUGAGGUAAUGGCUCACCAAGGCGUCGACGGGUAGCCGGCCUGAGAGGGUGACCGGCCACACUGGGACUGAGACACGGCCCAGACUCCUACGGGAGGCAGCAGUGGGGAAUAUUGCACAAUGGGCGCAAGCCUGAUGCAGCAACGCCGCGUGCGGGAUGACGGCCUUCGGGUUGUAAACCGCUUUUAGUAAGGAAGAAGGGGCUUCGGCCUUGACGGUACUUGCAGAAAAAGGACCGGCUAACUACGUGCCAGCAGCCGCGCCGUAAAAC